rnacentral:lncRNA from 1 species
AUGGGAGUGCAGGUGGAAACCAUCUCCCCAGGAGAGGAGUGCACCUUCCCGAGGCACGGCCAGACCUGCGUGGUGCACUACACCGGGAUGCUUGAAGAUGGAAAGAAAUUUGAUUCCUCCCGGGACAGAAACAAGCCCCUUAAUUUUUAGCAGGAGGUGAUCCGAGGCUGGGAAGAAAGGGUUGCUUAGAUGAGUGUGGGUCAGACAGCCCAACUGACUAUAUCUCCAGAUUCUGCCUACGGUGCCACUGGGCACCCAGGCAUCAUCCCACCACACGCCACUCUCGUCUUCGAUGUGGAGCUCCUAAAACUGGAAUGA